CAAUAGCGUAUAUUUAAGUUGUUGCAGUUAAAAAGCUCGUAGUUGGAUUUCGGAUGGGAUUUGCCGGUCCGUCGUUACGAUGUGCACUGGCCAGUCCUAUCUCGUUGUCGGGGACUAGCUCCUUGGAUUCACUUCCUGGGACUAGGAGCUGACGAGGUUACUUUGAGUAAAUUAGAGUGUUCAAAGCAAGCCUACGCUCUGAAUACAUUAGCAUGGAAUAACACGAUAGGACUCUGGCUUAUCUUGUUGGUCUGUGAGACCAGAGUAAUGAUUAAGAGGGACAGUCGGGGACAUUCGUAUUUCAUUGUCAGAGGUGAAAUUCUUGGAUUUAUGAAAGACGAACUUCUGCGAAAGCAUUUGUCAAGGAUGUUUUCAUUAA
rnacentral:rRNA from 1 species